rnacentral:rRNA from 1 species
UACAGAGGGUGCGAGCGUUAAUCGGAAUUACUGGGCGUAAAGCGCACGUAGGCGGCUUUGCAAGUCGAGUGUGAAAUCCCCAGGCUUAACCUGGGAACUGCAUUCGAGACUGCAUAGCUAGAGUAUGGGAGAGGGAAGUGGAAUUUCAGGUGUAGCGGUGAAAUGCGUAGAUAUCUGAAGGAACAUCAGUGGCGAAAGCGACUUCCUGGACCAAUACUGACGCUCAUGUGCGAAAGCGUGGGGAGCAAACAGG